GACGGAGGGGGCUAGCGUUGUUCGGAAUUACUGGGCGUAAAGCGUGCGCAGGCGGUUUUGUAAGUCAGAUGUGAAAUCCCCGGGCUUAACCUGGGAACUGCGUUUGAAACUACAAGGCUAGAGUGUAGCAGAGGGGGGUGGAAUUCCACGUGUAGCAGUGAAAUGCGUAGAGAUGUGGAGGAACACCGAUGGCGAAGGCAGCCCCCUGGGUUAACACUGACGCUCAGGCACGAAAGCGUGGGGAGCAAACAGG
rnacentral:rRNA from 1 species